CUUCUCCCUCGGCUCCGGCCGUCGCCCCACGCCCCACCUUCUCCCUCGGCUCCGGUCGCCGCCUAAUCCCUCACCAUCUCGUGCCCCUGGCCGCGCCCCAUCCACCAUCCCCAUCGCCGGCCGCCCCCAUCUGCAGCGCGCCUGCCGCCCCCAUCCCCAGCGCACCAACCCCCAGGUCGCCACCUGCCUCAUCGCGACGCCGCCCACUGCCCUUCCUCCUGGCUUCUCCCAGCCAUGUCGAGCGCCUCCUCCCUGCUCCAAGCUCGCUGCAGACUACACAGAGCCGCCAGCCCCCGCCGCCUCCCGUGCUAGUACAACGCCGCCCCUGUACAAGGUUCAAAGAACUUACAGUGAGAAGGAAGGGAGAUGCUAAGGUCCGGCAGCUUCCUCGUUGCCAUCCUGGCCCCUCAAGACGACCUCUGGUUCGGCCUUUCGUCAACGGAGAAAAGAAGACUGAUGUGGUGCUCCUAUUGGCUGUACUCUGGAGAAGAGUUAACAGAAAGUUGCAGCAAAGAACAAAAAAGAAGAAAAAAAUAUAGGGUUGCAAUUUAAGGAAGUUGGGAAUUAAAAGUUCAAAUUGUGCUAAUUGUCGCCGAGCCUCGGGUCUAUUCAUUCCUAAGCUAUGUCUUCAGUCAGCAGCGGAGAUGCCUGCGGGUACAUCGAUAGGAGCAGGAGACCCAUCAAACUUUGUUAACGGGCAGAUAGGAACAACAAGUUAGGUCCGUGCAUAUCAUCAUUCUGAGAGUGACAGAUUUGUGUUGAUUGAAUCCACGGUGGCAGUAGAACAUUAAGUACCAUGGAGUUUUCAUUGUGAGCAGGAUGCAUCGAAUACAACAGAUGAAGUGAAGCGACCUCCCCGGAGAGAAACCGAUCGCUGUGCAGCGACGCAUCUUGCCGUCGUCGUCGCUUGCGUAGUUCUCUGAAUGGAUGGAUGGAUGGGUACAGUUCUCUGAAUGUGAAGUCGAUUGUUGCUCAGCUUCCUCGCAAUUUACUCAGUCUCGUUUUGCUCCAAAGCGUGCUUCAGUUCAACAAAAAGCUCCAGAAAAGUUCAGAGUUCACAGGAGUCACUUCAGGUUGGCUCUUUUUUAUUCGCCAGUUUGGGUAAAGCAGGGAGAGGUGGAGUUCAACUAUACAGAAAGGUGAUGGUUUCGACUGGGGCUUCCGUGACGAUCCGCUGUUGUUCUGAUCUCUAGUUUCUAUGAACUGAUGGAACUAGUUUCAAUUCGUGGACUACCGGCACUUGCAAAAUCCAAGAGGCUGACCAUAUCAAAGUGCCCAAAGUUGAAGCAAAGGAGAUGAGAUGCCACAAAAAAGGAUGCAUAAAAAAAAUCAAAGGUAGCAGCUCAAAAAGAUGAAUAUUGGAAGCCCAUUGCCAGGCUGCGGAUGCGUAUGACUUGAAUCGGUAGCAGGCCUGUAACCGAAUCAUUCCGCACCACUUUUCUGUCCGUGUGGCUUGAUGUGCAGCCCGCCGGCUCAGUCGUGUACGUCCAGACAAGACACUAUGGUGCAAUUUAAUGCAUGAAUUGCAGUAUGUGGAUGAACCCAUACCUGAAGGCUCUGGGCUCCAACUACAGCAACGGUGUCAAAUUCGCCAUGGCUGGCUCAACGGUGUCCCGCGGCGUCUCCCAAUUCCCUGAACAUCCAGGUCGAUCCGUUCGUCUACUACAAGCACAGAUCCCUAGAGCUCUAAAGUUCCGUAUCAGGGUAUUUUUUCAUCGGUUCUAAAAUUCCCAGAGCAUCAGUCCAACGACGUAUCGGGGUAUACUGUGUUGCUCCUGCGAAUUUUUGUAUGCUUGUAUGUAAAAAAAAUGGUACAGUUACUGCUUUGAUGUGUCGUGGUGUUAAUGUUGUUGAUGUUCAAAGUUUGUGCAGAGAAAGACUUCAAAAACUCGUGUCGCCGAUGGAAUGAAUUACUAGAAGUUCAAAUUUGCUAAUAUCUACAGUACUGGUAGUUCAUUUUGCUACUAAUCCCGACUGUCUAUAGUUCAUUUUGCUAAUAAAUAUUCUUCUACAUGUCUUUACGUCGGCCGUAGAACAUGUAUUCCUUUUGGAAGUUAAGUCAAUGUAUUUCA
rnacentral:rRNA from 1 species